UGGACUAAGGACUCUCGCCUGCGUGGGAAU
rnacentral:piRNA from 1 species